AGCAGCUAAGAAUCUUCCGCAAUGGGCGAAAGCCUGACGGAGCGACGCCGCGUGAACGAAGAAGGCCGUGAGGUUGUAAAGUUCUUUUCGGGAGGGGGAACGACCGUGGCAGGGAAUGGCCGCGGGAUGACGUGAAUCCCGGAAUAAGCCCCGGCUAACUACGUGCCAGCAGCCGCGGUAACACGUAGGGGGCGAGCGUUGUUCGGAAUCAUUGGGCGUAAAGGGCGUGCAGGCGGUCCUGCAAGUCCGGCGUGAAAGACCCCGGCCCAACCGGGGGGGCGCGCUGGAAACUGCAGGGCUUGAGUACAGGAGGGGAUGCCGGAAUUCCAGGUGUAGGGGUGAAAUCUGUAGAUAUCUGGAGGAACACCAAUGGCGAAGGCAGGCAUCUGGCCAUGUACUGACGCUGAGACGCGAAGGUGCGGGGAGCAAACAGGUUUAGAUACCCUGGUAGUCCGCACAGUAAACGAUGUGCACCAGGUGGCGGGGGGUCGACCCCC
rnacentral:rRNA from 1 species